rnacentral:rRNA from 1 species
GCGAACGCUGGCGGCAGGCCUAACACAUGCAAGUCGAACGGAUCCUUCGGGAUUAGUGGCGGACGGGUGAGUCACACGUGGGAACGUGCCCUUUGGUUCGGAACAACUCAGGGAAACUUGAGCUAAUACCGGAUGUGCCCUUCGGGGGAAAGAUUUAUCGCCAUUGGAGCGGCCCGCGUCUGAUUAGCUAGUUGGUGAGGUAACGGCCCACCAAGGCGACGAUCAGUAGCUGGUCUGAGAGGAUGAUCAGCCACACUGGGACUGAGACACGGCCCAGACUCCUACGGGAGGCAGCAGUGGGGAAUCUUGCGCAAUGGGCGAAAGCCUGACGCAGCCAUGCCGCGUGAAUGAUGAAGGUCUUAGGAUUGUAAAAUUCUUUCAGCGGGGACGAUAAUGACGGUACCCGCAGAAGAAGCUCCGGCUAACUUCGUG